UUAAUGGAGAGUUUGAUCCUGGCUCAGGACGAACGCUGGCGGCGUGCUUAACACAUGCAAGUCGAACGGAGAUUAAGUUGAAACCUAGUGAUACUUAAACUUAGUGGCGGACGGGUGAGUAACGCGUGGAUAACCUGCCUGAUAGCCCGGGAUAACAGCUGGAAACGGCUGCUAAUACCGGAUACGCUGAGCAGAACGCAUGUUCUACUUAGGAAAGAUUUAUCACUAUCAGAUGGAUCCGCGUCCCAUUAGCUAGUUGGUGGUGUA
rnacentral:rRNA from 1 species